UUGUUUUCUUUUUUUUCUUCUUCUUGCUGCAGCAACAACACGCACACCAUGCCUUCUAAUUCUUCUCAUCACCAAUUUCUUCUUCAUUUUUCCUUGUUGCAACAAACGACCCACGCACCAUAGUCAUUCAUCACCAUGCCAAUUUUCUCAUCACCCUUCAAGCACCAAACCCGCGAGCACAAAGGGAGAGAGGGAGAAGAAGUUUUUUCGCCGUUUCUUGCCUGAUCGUCUCACUGACAAUUUCUACGCGCAGACCUCGAGGUUCGUUUGUGGAAACCUUAGACUUGACUGAGCAAGCUUGGGAGUGUGACUUACACUGUGAUUCUGGAAGAACUAGAGAUGUCGUUGACGGAUCGUUUUGUGAUGCUUCGUCGUUCGGGGAAGACCCGGAGCGAAAUGACUACUACUGAGCCUUCGACGUGGACCCGGACUUCAUGCAGGAUCGAAUGAGGGUCGAUGUUAGGGGUGUAGUAUAUAGGGUUUCGUUGUCAUAGCUCUGAUUUUCAUUUCUUAUUUUGGGGCAGGGUAGGUCCCCGACUAUUAGCUUUUUGUGUGGUUCUCUUCCAUGAGGAUCACAGGGAGUUUGUCGGACGUAGGAGGUCUUUUGGAAGCCACUAUGGGCUAACUUACUUUUUGGAGGACUGUAUUUAUAAAACUUAUGACUCUAUCUAUGGGUCGCACUUGUUUGCCGUUGGGCAAUACUUUUAGUUACUAGGUGUUACUUUCCGUCACUCGAUGACACUCGUGACGAUGAUUUUGGUUGCAGCGAGGGCUGUGCUUUUAUUGUUUGUUAGUCGUUGUUAA